UCCUAAUUUGAAUGGGAAUAUAACAAUAAAGGAUUAAAAAAAACUGUAUAAAGACAAAAUAAUUCUUUACAUGUGUCAUCCAGGAUAAUGGAUGACAUUAUGGGGUAACAGAAAAUAUCUGUUAAUCUUUAUGACAAAAGGGUUAUCUGGUAUGACGAAACUCAGUUUGAACCUUAAUCCGGCAGAUUUUUUGGACUACUAACAGAUAUCUACCAUAUUAAACUUUAACUUCCAAGUAUGUAAUUCAUAUAUACUAAAUACAUUUGCAUAAAAUCAACAUUCUAUAUGUUUUCUCGGAGUUAUCCCAAAUGACACAGGAUUUUAUCCCCCAGUGUACCAGUGAGUGAAAAGAGUACAUGAAACACACUUUAAAAGCCUGUCCUGAUUGUGUAACAUCCUGUCUGAUAACUUUUUUUUAACCCUGUGAUAAUAAGAAUGCAGAGAUAUCAGGCCAAAGAGGCUAUCUUGUAGCUGACAAGAGGCUCAUAAGGGAGACUCAAAAGAGCCCAAUUUAAUGACAUCAGGCACAGACUACUUUUCCCAGCCACAAUCAUUGUUACCCUCAAAGGAUGAAGGAUACUGUUUUGGGACCACAAUUGAUACUUCUUACAAAAAAACAACAGCUCAGUCUUGCAAAUCAAGCUUGAACAGAGGCAUUAAAUAACUGAUAAAAAGAUUUGAUUGAUGAUGAUGAUGAUGAUGAUGAUGAUUGUGGUGGUGUGAGAAUGCCUUUCAGUUAGCUAUAAAUGGAAUAUGGCCUCUUGUGAACUGGAAUUAAUUGCAGUAAUAGUUAAAAAAAAUUUGUUAGUUUUAUGGUUUAGUUUCUGGAUACCAACAGUUUGGAGCAUGCGCACAUUUCAAAGUACAAGUUAGGUUGUUAGUCACUGGCUUUCAGAAUGGUGCCUGCCAACACUGACAAAAGUUUGGCAGAGUUCAGGAAACCAAAAGUUCUUGUUCGAGGUAAAAAUGAUAAACCAACAGUGACUGUUGGUAGGAGAAAGGUUUUAAGGAAUAGGCUCUGCUGUCACAGUCUGACACUUGUACUUUUAUCAUUACGUCAUCCUACUUCAGCAUUUGACAAAAGUCAUUCACACAAACACAACUGUAAACAAAGUUUUUAGUGUUUAAAAGGUGACUUUUCCCGUUGUUUUCUUGAUGCUCUCCAUUCUGCUCCCUGAUUACUAAACAAGGAAAUGAGGGAAAAGUGGUGACACAAAUUCAGAGACAGGACAUUUGUAGAGCUUUACCCAACUCAGAAUUAUGUCAGAAAAGUUUGACAGUUUGACAGGGCUCAGCAGGACGUUCAGUGUGACAGCUGCAUUCACAUAAUAUAGUAAACAAGCUAAUAGGGGCCAACACCAGAUUCCAAAUGUGCAACAGAUUUUUUUACAGACAUGAGAUAUCAAACAAUAGCCAGAGACUGUGUUGUCUCUUUUUUGUGCUGUGAAUUCACCACUUUUCAGCAGAAGAGAGAAGACAUUGUUAUUUACAGUGCAGAGUAUCUCUUCCUCUGUGCCUCUAUGAAAGUGUAGCGUGACAUUUAAGAGCACUUGGUCCGCAGAAAAAUUCAGAGACCAAAUCGCCCCCAGAAGCACACUGCAGCGCACGCUGACUAACAAAAAAAACAAACAAACAAAACAAGGACUGCUUCACUAGAAGCAAUCUCAGUCAACUGAGGGUCUCUGACUGAUGAUUAGACUUUUGAACAUUUAGGGGGCAGCCCUAGACUUGUGCAAGAAGGUGAUAAGUAAAGAGAUGAGCAGUUUCCACUGUCAAAAUCCUGUGACUUCCUGAGUUCCUAGCUGACCUUGCUGAAUGUUCUGCCCUACAGAUAGCAUUGAGGCAAAUGUGGAGAACGCUGAUGUUCAUGUAGAGCGGGGAACAGAGCAGCUCCAGAGAGCCGCCUAUUACCAGCAAAAGUCCAGGAAGAAGAUGUGUAUCCUUGCUAUGGUUUGUUCCAUUGUGCUUGUUAUACUUGGCAUUAUUAUCUGGCAAGCUGCUAAGUGAGUUGACUCUGCACAAACGAUGUGCCACUUCCAUAUUUUACUCUGCCCUUCCCACCCACAAGUACCUGCCUGGAAUCACCAGAAGAACAAGGAGAGGCUAUGACCAUGGUCAGCAGAGGAGAUCUAUGCAGAGGGAUGGUCAGUGUGGAAACAUCCUCAUGUGAACUGAUCAAGCCUGCUUUGUAAAAUAGCUGAAAACAUCCUAUUUAAAGUGAGAUAAAGGACUAAGGUGCUGAGGGGAGUGCUUAUUCAUUUCUUGUCUUAUUUACUGCACUAACACUAGCUGUCACUGUAUUUCAAAUGUAUAAAUGUCAUCGGGAAUGAUUUCAGAACCGGCAAAAUGAAAUAAGAAACUCAUGGCUUGUUGAAGUAAACUAAUCUGUGGUUUUUAGGGGGCUGUAAUUUUUUGUGACCUGCUGUGGCAUCAUCUGAAUGAGACUGGCCUGCCCAGUCACCUCCUGUGGGACCUGUGUGACUCCUGCUGCUGACGGCAGCCAUGCUUGUAAAUAUACAUGUUGUAAAAUGAGAGCUCUUACAGAUAACCAAUACUGAUCAAACCCAUGUCUGUAAAUAUUACAAAUCUGCAUUAUAUUCUGCUCAGAACAUUAUGGAUCAUAAAAUAAUGACACUAUCUCCAACAUGAAAGUCCAGUCUUCAAACAGAACAUUUUUAAAUUGAUUUCUAUGACAGUAUGCAUAAUAAAUGUCUGAAACAA